UACAGAGACUGCAAGCGUUAUUCGGAUUCACUGGGCGUAAAGGGUGCGCAGGCGGUCGGGUGUGUCAGAUGUGAAAUCCCGAGGCUCAACCUCGGAACUGCGUCUGAAACUACUCGACUAGAGUACUGGAGAGGGUAACGGAAUUCACGGUGUAGCAGUGAAAUGCGUAGAUAUCGUGAGGAACACCAGAGGCGAAGGCGGUUACCUGGACAGUUACUGACGCUCAGGCACGAAAGCAUGGGGAGCAAACAGG
rnacentral:rRNA from 1 species